rnacentral:rRNA from 1 species
GACGAACGCUGGCGGCGUGCCUAAUACAUGCAAGUUGAGCGAUGAAGAUUGGUGCUUGCACCAAUUUGAAGAGCAGCGAACGGGUGAGUAACGCGUGGGGAAUCUGCCUUUGAGCGGGGGACAACAUUUGGAAACGAAUGCUAAUACCGCAUAACAACUUUAAACAUAAGUUUCAAGUUUGAAAGAUGCAAUUGCAUCACCCAAAGAUGAUCCCGCGUUGUAUUAGCUAGGUGGUGAGGUAAAGGCUCACCAAGGCGAUGAUACAUAGCCGACCUGAGAGGGUGGUCGGCCCAAUUGGGACUGGGACACGGCCCAAACUCCUACGGGGGGCCGCAGUAGGGAAUCUUCGGCAAUGGACGGAAGUCUGACCGAGCAACGCCGCGUGAGUGAAGAAGGUUUUCGGAUCGUAAAACUCUGUUGGUAGGGAAGAACGUGGGUGAGGGUGGAAAGCUCAUCAAGUGACGGUAACUACACAGAAAGGGACGGCUAACUACGUG